rnacentral:rRNA from 1 species
GGGGGAAUAUUGCACAAUGGAGGGAACUCUGAUGCAGCGACGCCGCGUGAACGAAGAAGGCUUUCGAGUCGUAAAGUUCUUUUAUAUGGGAAGAUAAUGACGGUACCAUAAGAAAAAGCCCCGGCUAACUACGUGCCAGCAGCCGCGGUAAUACGUAGGGGGCUAGCGUAGUCCGGAAUCACUGGGCGUAAAGGGUUCGCAGGCGGAAAUGCAAGUCAGGUGUAAAAGGCAGUAGCUUAACUACUGUAAGCAUUUGAAACUGCAUAUCUUGAGAAGAGUAGAGGUAAGUGGAAAUUUUAGUGUAGCGGUGAAAUGCGUAGAUAUUAAAAAGAAUACCGGUGGCGAAGGCGACUUACUGGGCUCAUUCUGGCGCUGAGGAACGAAAGCGUGGGUAGCAAACAGG